GGGGAAAGACACCACGUCGACAAUGGAGCGCUUACCAUUCAUACUGUUCCAACUGCCCCAUUCAACCAGCCCAUCGUACUUCAGCCCCACAAGGCCAUCUGCCCACCUCCUGCGUGCACCAGAGCGCACCAUCAUUCCUUUUUUUGCUCAGGCGGCCAGGCCCUAGAACGAUCUUCGCUUAAGUGUCAUCGACCAUUCCAAAACAGAUAAAUUUAGGAAUGCAAUAGAAUAAUUUUUCGAUUAACUCUACAUUGUUUGCACACAUCCUCGUGUAAAGCCCUCUGUAGAGGGCCUUCGAGGUAUAAUAAAUAAAAAUUAAUAAAUAAACAGUUUGGGUUUGUUGGUUUCACAUGAUGGGUGGCAACAAUAUUGAUUACAUUUUUUCAUUAAUAAAUGACUGCAGUUCAA